UAGAGCGUUGGGCCAGUAACCAGCAGGUAGCCUAGUGGUUAGAGCGUUGGGCCAGUAACCAGCAGGUAGCCUAGUGGUUAGAGCGUUGGGCCAGUAACCAGCAGGUAGCCUAGUGGUUAGAGCGUUGGGCCAGUAACCAGCAGGUAGCCUAGUGGUUAGAGCGUUGGGCCAGUAACCAGCAGGUAACCUAGUGGUUAGAGCGUUGGGCCAGUAACCAGCAGGUAGCCUAGUGGUUAGAGCGUUGGGCCAGUAACCAGCAGGUAGCCUAGUGGUUAGAGCGUUGGGCCAGUAACCAGCAGGUAGCCUAGUGGUUAGAGCGUUGGGCCAGUAACCAGCAGGUAACCUAGUGGUUAGAGCGUUGGGCCAGUAACCAGCAGGUAGCCUAGUG